CUCUGAUAGGAUCGACUUCAUAUUGCUUAUAUAUGUGCUAACGCACAUAUAUAAAUGCUCAUGCAAAACUGCAUGAAUGCCCCUAAGGCGC
rnacentral:misc_RNA from 1 species